CCCGGUUGCCUGCCAUGGAGAGGGCUAGCGAGCCGCUGCUGGAUGCUAAGUCAGGGGUCACCAACCAGCUUAUAAAUUUUCAGUGGAAAUUGGGUAUGGCUGUGAGCUCGGACAGUUGCAGAUCUCUUAAGUAUCCUUAUGUUGCAGUGAUGCUAAAAAUGGCAGAUCCUUCAGGCCAAGUAAAGAACAAGUCCUUUGAAAUGACAAUUCCACAAGUUUCAGAAUUUCUACAGACAGUUCAAGGAAAUUGCUGCAGUUAUUGAAACUGUGUAAAAACUUAUUUGGUUGAUAAAUUGCUAUCAUCAUUCUGAAAUCAUGUACUUCAGUUUCUUGCAACAAAACUGGAUAAGAAUCAAAUGAUAUUUAAUGAAUGAAAAUUGCACUUUUGUUUUUUCCAUUUUUUUUAAUAAUAAAAAAUCAGACAAACAG